CGUAGGUGAACCUGCGGAAGGAUCAUUAUUGAAUUAUGUUUCUAGAUGGGUUGUAGCUGGCUCUUAUGGGGGCAUGUGCACGCCUGUUUGGAUCUUUAUCUUCUUCCACCUGUGCACCUAUUGUAGUCUUUAGUUGGGUCUCGAGGAAGCUUGGUUGACCUAUCAGCAUUUGCUGGAUGUGCAGGACUUGCAGUGUGAAGGGGACUGCUGUCACUUUAGCUUGUCCAUGGUGUCGAUUUCUCACUGGAGUCUAUGUCUUUCAUUAUACUCUGUUGAAUGUUAUGUGACAAAAUGUCUUUUACAUGGGCCUUGUGUGCCUAUGAAAAUUGUAAUACAACUUUCAGCAACGGAUCUCUUGGCUCUCGCAUCGAUGAAGAACGCAGCGAAAUGCGAUAAGUAAUGUGAAUUGCAGAAUUCAGUGAAUCAUCGAAUCUUUGAACGCCUCUUGCGCUCCUUGGUAUUCUGAGGAGCAUGCCUGUUUGAGUGUCAUUAAAUUCUCAACUCUCUUGUACCUUCUUUUGAAAUAAAAUUGGGUAUGACUUGGAUAUGUGGAGGUUUUAGCUGUGUCAGGCUUCUGAUUGAGGUCAGCUCCUCUGAAAUGUAUUAGCGGGCCCCGUCUGUGCGAAUCGUGCUAUUGGUGUGAUAAGUUAUCUGCGCUGGUUAGGCAAUUUCUGCUUUUUUGUGUAUGGGGGUGUACUGCUUCUAACUGUCCUCAGUCUUUUGAGACAACUAAUUUUGACAAUGUUUGACCUCAAAUCAGGUAGGACUACCCGCUGAACUUAAGCAUAUCAAUAAGCGGAGGAAAAGAAACUAACAAGGAUUCCCCUAGUAACUGCGA
rnacentral:rRNA from 1 species